rnacentral:rRNA from 1 species
AGUGGCGAACGGGUGAGUAACACGUGGGGCAAACCUGCCCAAANAGGGGGAUAACACUUGGAAACAGGUGCUAAUACCGCAUAACCAUAGUUACCGCAUGGUAACUAUGUAAAAGGCGGCUAUACUACCGCUUUUGGAUGGGCCCGCGGCGCAUUAGCUAGUCGGUAGGGUAAAGGCUUACCAAGGCAAUGAUGCGUAGCCGAAUUGAGAGGUUGAUCGGCCACAUUGGGACUGAGACACGGCCCAAACUCCUACGGGAGGCAGCAG